ACUCCCAUGGCGUAGUGGUCACUGCGCUCGCUCGCCUUGCAUGCGGGAGACCCGGGUUCGAUUCCCGGCGGGGUCA
rnacentral:tRNA from 1 species